UUACAUCAAUCUAUAUGUAAAUCGAUGUCUAAGUUCAAUUUUAAAAAUUCACAACCCCUAUACUUCUCCCUUUUCCUCAGGCGCUUAGCCAAUUUUUUUAGUUUCCCCCUUUUGUAUAGUUUGCCUCCAUUUAAACAUAAAUACCGUCCCGCCUAAUCAAUCAUGGAGUAUAAUAAAAUAAUAAAAAACUUUAAAAAAUAUAUCAAAAUCAGAAUCAAAACAUACAAAACUAGUAAACAAACAUAUCGGGGUUUUAUUUUCAGACUAAAGAGUUUGCCAUUCCCCCUUUCUCUCGACUGCUAGCUUAGCUUAAACCUAAACGCGUGAUUAAAUCUUCAAUCUCCGAUUAAACCACUCAACUUCUUCUUUUCAUCCUUUAAUUCCUUUCUCUCUUUCAAAUGUUCUAAUUUCUGAUUUGUUUCAAUUAAUUGAAAAGAUUCGAAGAUUAAAGUGAAGCUAUUGUGUUCGCCUUUGAAGUGUAAGGUUCGAUCUUGAGGAGUGGGGGUGGUUGGAGCUUAAAUCUUGAAGCUUGGUGUUUUUUAAAGCUUAAAGUUUGGAGCUUGCAGUUUAGUUGGAUUUUAGGGUUUGGAGUUGGAUUAUAUUUUGGAGCUUGGGUUUUUAGCUUGAACUAAUUAGAUCCUAUUGGCGAGGAUUUUUGCCAACUAAACUUUGCAAUAGAAAGGCAUAUUGGUCGACAUGAAGGAGGACUUGCUUGUUCUUUGAGGGAAGCUGUAAUCUUUGAAGCUCAUGAAGGACGACUUGUAGACACAUUGGUAGAGAUAAAACUCUUGCCCUGCUAUUCUUUUGACAUUUUAGACUUGGGAAACUAAAAGAUAUAAUCGAUAUCAAUUUUAGGGACUUGCUAGUACAUGAACUAGACUAGGCAAUGAUAAGAACACAAGAAACUAACCUUAAUGCAAAUACUUUAACUUAGAAUGUACCAUUCUGGACAGCCUGACCACCUCUGACUAAAAAUGGGAUAACUUCUUGUAGGAAACGUAUUUUUUAGAUCCGUAAAAUUUGCUGAAAACUAGACUCCUCUACCUUUCCAAGGGUAUAUCACACUGCACCCGUAAAUUCGUAGAUUAAAUCAGUUUAUUCAUCAAAGUGGACUCAAAUUAUUCUCAGAAUUCUCAUUUUUCUGUGUCACCAAAUAACACUGAGUUCAAGAACACUGGACUUAGAGAUAAGAGCUGCAAAGAACUUAUGUAUACUUCUGGUACUUUUUAAUAUACUCCUUUUAUUAUAAUAUAACCUGAUGGAUUUUUUUUGGAUCCUCUUAGAAACAACUUUGAACCUGUGAAACUGCAAUCUUAGCUUAUAAAUGGUUCUUCAUAGGAUUUUUACACAAGUUCUGGAAAGAGAAAACCUGAUCAGAUAACUACUACGUUUCCCUGUCUUAAUAUAUAGCACUAACUAGUAUCAUGUCCAAAACUUGUUCAUUUGUUUAUUGUUUAAACAAUGAUUUAAAUAAUGGAUCAUUUCUGCUCAUGCUCAUGGGCAUAACUACCAUCAAAUUGUAGCUUGGAGCUGUGCUUUCCUUGCAUGGAUGUUACAAAUCAUCACAACAAGGUGGGGGUGAUGGUAUGUGUAACAUAUUUAUCAACUUGGUAAGGUGCUCAAAAUAUAUAUCAUCGUGUUUUCGUUCAAUUAACUAACUAUUAACAUUUCCUCAUCUUCUUUCCGCUCAACACAGGUGGCCUUAUCCAUUCCUUGACCUGUCACAUUCGUUUUCUCCACUGUGGUAUGCAGUAUUUUAGUAUCAGAACUUGCAACGUACUAAAACAAGCAGAAUUUCUAAGCUCGCGUUUUUACAGUAUUAGACAAGAAAAUGUUUGAUUACCUUGGAUGGUCAUGAUAUGAAGACAUUGCAGGUCCAUUAGCUAAGAAGUCAGAUUGGGAUGGUGGGUUAGAAACCAGUUCUAUUUGCUACAAUUAUACUAGAAAAUGUGAUGAUGAGAAGAGAAAAUGCCACUAAAAAAGAGGCUAUUAAAGCUUGAUACUACAAGUCGUAAUCUUUUGUGGGAGGUUGGAGAUCGCGGAACUCAAAUGUCUGGAGGACAAAAAAGAGGAUUGCAUUGGCUAGAGCAAUGAUUAAAGAUCCCGCAGAGAUAUGGAGCCUGCAGAGACCAAAGUUUAGCAUGUUGAUGGUGGGACUUAAAUUUGGUAUGUUUGUUGGUGCAAACACACUUUCUGUAAUUUAUGACAUUAGAAAUUGUUUAGCCACGGUUACAGGAUAUGGGAGAAAUUUAGCUGAUAAAUUAUGUCUGGGAUGAACUAUAGUGUAAAUUAUGGUUUGUAAAUGUCUAGUACUAGAUUUCGAGUUAUGUAGUUUGCUUGUAUUCAUGAAA